GGGGGCGUAAAGGUUUCGACGGGGAUUUUGAUGCCAUGUAAGCGGGUAGAGUCGCGCAAACUCUUAAAUCAGGCGCAAUUUAAAAACAAACGCUAACAAUAGAGUAGCUCUCGCUGCCUAAGUGCAGCCGUCCUCCCGUGAAGUACCGCGGUCACGGACAGGGCGUCACGCAGCGGUGAACGUGAACUGCCAGUCUCCUUUCUAACAGUCAUGAACAAAAAGGAUACCGAUUCUGCUGCCUGCCGUUUGGCGGCAAGAUCGGGAAUUUAAAAAACGGCUGCACCCGGAGAAAGCGUGGCAAAGAGGUUUUCGGACAGGGGUUCGACUCCCCUCGCCUCCACCA
rnacentral:tmRNA from 1 species